CUUGGUUGAGCUUGAAUUUCCUGAUUCUCUCCUCUUUUAUUUCCUGGCAGGCUCUGUUGCAGGAGCACAGCUUCGUGACAGGAUUAGCUGCCUUGUUAGAAACAUACGAUCUCAGCAAGAUCACACCAGAAAUGGACGAACCGAUAGAAUCCAUGCUGAUGGACCUUUCCAUUUUUUAUUGGACGGCUAUCCUAAAGACAGAGGACAAUGUUUUUGAGGAAAGAAGUUGUUGGAGAAGAAGUUGUUGGAGGAAGCCUUUGGCCUGACACUGAGGAGCCUUCUCCGGCAGUCUCCCACCACACAGCGGUUCGUUUUCAUUCUGAAGCAUUUGGACCCAGAUGGGAGACUCUUCUUGCCAGUGCUCAACCAGCUCCUCUAUUGUGGGAACCAUCAUCCCAGGAUCGAUCUUGAUGAAGUCCAGCAAGCUUUCCCUGAUGUUCCCAGAGAAAUCUGGCAGGCUGGAAUGACCUAUGAAAACAUCAAUGAAGGUAACCUAGAAGUAGAGGAGUUGUGACCUCCACCCUCCACCAUUGAUCCACCUAUAUUCAAGGAUGGAUGAAGUUCUACUCCAUCGCAGGAAAUGGCCCUUUGUUUCUUCCUUCUAUAAAUUAUCACUGGAAGGGCAGAACUCCCUACUGCUGAAGUUCCCCUUGGAGUUUGGAAGAUGGCACUGGGGCUGAAUAUGUUGUGGAGCAGACGCCAACCAUAAUCGUUUUUAAUAUGCUUCAGCAGGUUGGUAGUGUGGAAGGUUGGACUAAGAGAUGGUUCAGUUUCUGCAAAUGUAGUCUUUCUUCUAUCAAGCAUAUGCUUGAUUCUGCUUUCUGCCCUGUGAUUUGGCUCUUCUUAGGCUGUGUAGAAGCUUGGACUGAAUUCCAUGCCAUGCCUGUAACUGACCUCUUUGCUUGGACCAUCAUCCAUCUGGAUCAACAUCUUCUCAGGAUAGUUUCCUUAAAUGGGUGGCAUAUAAAUGUCUCAUAGACAGAAUGUUUAUGUUUAUGUUUAUGUAUCUAUAUGUAUAUGUUUAUGUAUUUAUUUUGUUUGUCAUAUUCUGUUUUUAAUUGUAUAAUUGAUUUUAUGGUUGCUUGCCACCCAUUGUCACUUGUUUGACAUGGGCCCCUGUACAUAUUGGAUAAAUAAAUAAGUAUACUUUGAAUAUUUUUCCUUCACUGGUUUUCCUAACG